rnacentral:rRNA from 1 species
GGGUUGUGAGGUUAAGCGACUAAGCGUACACGGUGGAUGCCCUGGCAGUCAGAGGCGAUGAAGGACGUGCUAAUCUGCGAAAAGCGCCGGCGAGGUGAUAUGAACCUUUGACCCGGCGAUGUCCGAAUGGGGAAACCCAGUGUGUUCCGACACACUAUCGUUAACUGAAUACAUAGGUUAACGAGGCGAACCGGGGGAACUGAAACAUCUAAGUACCCCGAGGAAAAGAAAUCAACCGAGAUUCCCCCAGUAGCGGCGAGCGAACGGGGAGCAGCCCAGAGUCUGAAUCAGCUUGUGUGUUAGUGGAAGCGUCUGGAAAGUCGCACGGUACAGGGUGACAGUCCCGUACACGAAAGCACACAGGCUGUGAACUCGAAGAGUAGGGCGGGACACGUGGUAUCCUGUCUGAAUAUGGGGGGACCAUCCUCCAAGGCUAAAUACUCCUGACUGACCGAUAGUGAACCAGUACCGUGAGGGAAAGGCGAAAAGAACCCCGGCGAGGGGAGUGAAAAAGAACCUGAAACCGUGUACGUACAAGCAGUGGGAGCCUCUUUUAUGGGGUGACUGCGUACCUUUUGUAUAAUGGGUCAGCGACUUAUAUUCUGUAGCAAGGUUAACCGUAUAGGGGAGCCGAAGGGAAACCGAGUCUUAACUGGGCGUUAAGUUGCAGGGUAUAGACCCGAAACCCGGUGAUCUAGCCAUGGGCAGGUUGAAGGUUGGGUAACACUAACUGGAGGACCGAACCGACUAAUGUUGAAAAAUUAGCGGAUGACUUGUGGCUGGGGGUGAAAGGCCAAUCAAACCGGGAGAUAGCUGGUUCUCCCCGAAAGCUAUUUAGGUAGCGCCUCGUGAACUCAUCUUCGGGGGUAGAGCACUGUUUCGGCUAGGGGGCCAUCCCGGCUUACCAACCCGAUGCAAACUACGAAUACCGAAGAAUGUUAUCACGGGAGACACACGGCGGGUGCUAACGUCCGUCGUGAAGAGGGAAACAACCCAGACCGCCAGCUAAGGUCCCAAAGUCAUGGUUAAGUGGGAAACGAUGUGGGAAGGCACAGACAGCCAGGAUGUUGGCUUAGAAGCAGCCAUCAUUUAAAGAAAGCGUAAUAGCUCACUGGUCGAGUCGGCCUGCGCGGAAGAUGUAACGGGGCUAAACCAUGCACCGAAGCUGCGGCAGCGACACUAUGUGUUGUUGGGUAGGGGAGCGUUCUGUAAGCCGUUGAAGGUGUCCUGUGAGGGGUGCUGGAGGUAUCAGAAGUGCGAAUGCUGACAUAAGUAACGAUAAAGCGGGUGAAAAGCCCGCUCGCCGGAAGACCAAGGGUUCCUGUCCAACGUUAAUCGGGGCAGGGUGAGUCGACCCCUAAGGCGAGGCCGAAAGGCGUAGUCGAUGGGAAACAGGUUAAUAUUCCUGUACUUGGUGUUACUGCGAAGGGGGGACGGAGAAGGCUAUGUUAGCCGGGCGACGGUUGUCCCGGUUUAAGCAUGUAGGCGGAGGUUCCAGGUAAAUCCGGUUCCUUGUUAACGCUGAGGUGUGAUGACGAGGCACUACGGUGCUGAAGUAACAAAUGCCCUGCUUCCAGGAAAAGCCUCUAAGCAUCAGGUAACAUCAAAUCGUACCCCAAACCGACACAGGUGGUCAGGUAGAGAAUACCAAGGCGCUUGAGAGAACUCGGGUGAAGGAACUAGGCAAAAUGGUGCCGUAACUUCGGGAGAAGGCACGCUGAUAUGUAGGUGAAGCCCCUGCGGGUGGAGCUGAAAUCAGUCGAAGAUACCAGCUGGCUGCAACUGUUUAUUAAAAACACAGCACUGUGCAAACACGAAAGUGGACGUAUACGGUGUGACGCCUGCCCGGUGCCGGAAGGUUAAUUGAUGGGGUUAGCGGUAACGCGAAGCUCUUGAUCGAAGCCCCGGUAAACGGCGGCCGUAACUAUAACGGUCCUAAGGUAGCGAAAUUCCUUGUCGGGUAAGUUCCGACCUGCACGAAUGGCGUAAUGAUGGCCAGGCUGUCUCCACCCGAGACUCAGUGAAAUUGAACUCGCUGUGAAGAUGCAGUGUACCCGCGGCAAGACGGAAAGACCCCGUGAACCUUUACUAUAGCUUGACACUGAACACUGGUCCUUGAUGUGUAGGAUAGGUGGGAGGCUUUGAAGCGUGGACGCCAGUCUGCGUGGAGCCAACCUUGAAAUACCACCCUUUAAUGGCUGGUGUUCUAACGUAGACCCGUAAUCCGGGUUGCGGACAGUGUCUGGUGGGUAGUUUGACUGGGGCGGUCUCCUCCCAAAGAGUAACGGAGGAGCACGAAGGUUAGCUAAUCCUGGUCGGACAUCAGGAGGUUAGUGCAAUGGCAUAAGCUAGCUUGACUGCGAGAGUGACGGCUCGAGCAGGUGCGAAAGCAGGUCAUAGUGAUCCGGUGGUUCUGAAUGGAAGGGCCAUCGCUCAACGGAUAAAAGGUACUCCGGGGAUAACAGGCUGAUACCGCCCAAGAGUUCAUAUCGACGGCGGUGUUUGGCACCUCGAUGUCGGCUCAUCACAUCCUGGGGCUGAAGUAGGUCCCAAGGGUAUGGCUGUUCGCCAUUUAAAGUGGUACGCGAGCUGGGUUUAGAACGUCGUGAGACAGUUCGGUCCCUAUCUGCCGUGGGCGCUGGAGAAUUGAGGGGGGCUGCUCCUAGUACGAGAGGACCGGAGUGGACGCAUCACUGGUGUUCGGGUUGUCAUGCCAAUGGCACUGCCCGGUAGCUAAAUGCGGAAGAGAUAAGUGCUGAAAGCAUCUAAGCACGAAACUUGCCCCGAGAUGAGUUCUCCCUGAGACUUUAAGUCUCCUGAAGGAACGUUGAAGACUACGACGUUGAUAGGUCGGGUGUGUAAGCGCAGCGAUGCGUUGAGCUAACCGAUACUAAUGAACCGUGAGGCUUAACCUUACAACGCCGAAGGUGUUU